rnacentral:pre_miRNA from 1 species
ACCAAGGGCCUGAUUCAAAGCCCACUGAAGUCAAUGAAAAGACUCCCAUUGACUUCAGUGGGCUUUGAAUCAGGCACCUUUUGU